ensembl:lncRNA
UGAUCCUUUUUCUCCUUUUUCUCCUUUCAAGUCCUAUUACAUAAAAAAGAAGCACUUACUGUGGUGUCUUGGAUUUUUCUAUGCUUUCUAUUUCAGUCUGGUUCUACAAAUAGGAAAUCCUGCUGUCGCCAGCAAGAUUUUUUCAGCAGAGAUGGUUCUACUCCAACGAUUAAGAAGCAGAAACUUCGUAUCAGUGCUCCUGCCUAAGUCUGAUGUUUGAAAAAGAAACUGUUUCUGCACAUUUCAGAAUAGAGCUAGGUCAAAACAACCUAUCUCUGAUUGCAUACAAUACGACUGCAGUAAAUACCCCCACAAAUGGCAACAAGAAAAAAAACCAGAUAGACCUUAGUUGUUUUGCUGGAGCUAGAGUUACUUCCACAUGUAAUUGCAGCGGCCACCUAUGGCAACCUUGUCUCUGUGGGUGCAAGAUUAGACUAGGGUAUAUUGUAGCACCACUGGGCCACAUCCUAAAGCCAAAUUUCAUGAUCUAAUUAUUACCUGGUUAGACUCAUGCACCAAACUAUUUAUGGAAGGAAUUUUGAGUGGUUUCUAAACCAUAGUGCCCAAUGUUCACGAAAAAUUGCCACUAUCUCAUGAUAAGCCACUACAGUUGAGAGUGGAAAGUGCUCCAGGUGCUCUGUAUUUGGUCUAAACAGGGAGAGCUCGGGUACCUAAAAGCUGAACCUCUCUUUUGCAAUCUUUCUCAAUUCAGUCUUCAUGUAAAAUUCACUUUUAUUUCAGCACAUAAUGGAGAGGGACUUUGGAUGACUCCAUAGAUUAGAUGCAAAUUCCAUAGGAAAAAGGGACUCAAGAACAAACACAUUGUCCUGUUGAUCUAUUAAUAUUUUGAAUUCUAUUGGCUAUUGCUGUUUAAUUUCUCUAUAAGGACACAAUGCAAUAAUUUUAAUUUACAAAGCAAUACUUAAAGCUGAAUCUGAUUAUUCCUUUCUAUAUUUAUUGUCUUUCCAACACUUUCCAUGAUUACUCAGGUUUCAGUAAAAAUAAUGAAAAAAACUACAAAAUGUACAUGAACAUGUUGUAAGCUUUUGUGAAACUCUGGUAGCUCAGAGUCUGACAUUCUCAGUGCCAAGGCCCAGAGGUCAGCACAGCUGUGGCUUUGGUAGCCAUUCAGAACAUCCAUGUGGAUUGGGUGAAGCAGAAGUGAUUUACUCUUCAUGUACUCAGAUUCCCAGCAGGUAGGGCACUGGUAGGCAAGAAGCAUUUCACUGGCAUGUGCAGAUGUGCACAUGAGCACAUAGGCUCAUCCAAGCUGGCUCCAAACAGACACUCUAAGGGAGCUUAGAAUCUAAUGAAACAAAUCUGAGAAACGUUAGGAUGGAUAAAAAUAUAUGUUAUCAGAGCAGUGAAGAUGAAAACAUCCUCUCACAAUAGAACUUAGUCAGAUGGCUUAUCUGAAAGUGAUGUUUAACAAUUUCACUACCGUCAUGUUGUCUGGUCCACUUAACGUCACAAUAACAGUUCCUGGGGGCCCAGGGGGUCCAGUUAACCCAGUGUCACCCUUGAAAGAAAAAGAAGAAUAGAGCAAAUUAUAAGCAGUGUGUUUUUGUUAUUUCAAAUUACUAUUACUAUACUUUCGAUACCAUGAAAAUUCUUCUGUUAUUACACUCAGCCAUUAAUUCUGUUAGCAUUUCCCUUUUUUUGCCAUUUCAAUUCCAGAAAAAAAGCCAUUGAAGACUUAACCUUCCCCUAGCUGAUUAAUAUAAAAAUGAAUAUGCUGAUAUCUGUUAAAGUUUCUAGAAGCAACUUAAAUUUUCAAUCCUAUUUAUUUGGUACAAAACUAUUUUAAAUCAAGCAAUAAUUUCUCCUUGAUUACAAUAUUUAUCUCUAUUUAAUUACAUCAAGCAGUAGAUUACAUGAGCUGUCUUUGGUGACAUUGUCCAAACUGCAGUCUGGAUAUUCCAGGAAGAUCACAGAAUCAUGGUACUAACAGACAUAACAAGCUUUCUUGUGUCCUUCACUGACAACAAAAGUACUGAAGUGCACUUUUUCAUUAAGAAUCUUUGAGGCCUGGGAAAGUACUCAGUGUGAUCUUUCCUGUGGACCUCAAUAAAACAAUAUCCACAAUUUUCAGUGAUUUUAAGCCAGGAAUGCUUUUGCAUGAAUUUGCAGCACAACAGCAAAGAAUGUGUCACUCUUUCAUAAAGAAACAAGAUGUUCCAUGGUCACCUGAGGUACUCCUAAUGAAUAACCAGGUUUAUAGGCAAUUUUUUUCCCCCAGGAAACUCCUAGCUCAUUCUGGGUAGCAAUCACAAUGUUAAAACUGAAUCUGUGCAAGUCAGUUGGCAUAAUUGUGAGAUGCACUAAUCUCUUACAAAGAUAUUCAGACUAACUGCAGUAGUCCUGCAACUGCAGGCUAGGUACUGAGAGACAAUGUGGGCAUUUGUAGUAAUACCUGGCUUAAUGUCAAUUACAUGGGAUACAAAGUAAGUACAUGAAAGACAAGUUAUCCAAUUUUUUUAUCCAAUUUUUUUAUCCAAUUCAAAAUCUGGGGGUUUUGCUAGCAUCACAAGGGCUGAUGCUGAAAAUACAUUGGACAAAAGUUGUGAGACUACAAACGCUACAUAUUUACCACUGUUUAUCUGCUUAGAUAAGCAUUUAAAGUAUAUAUAUUAAUUUAAUGCUAUGUACUAAUUAAUAUUAAUUACUGGCUUCUCUUCAGUAUCUAAUCUUCUGUCUAGAUGUUUAUCUCAUCAGCUCUUAUGUGAAAACAUUUUGACCUUUAAGAGCAUUGCCAUGUUUCCAUUUUUCAACAAAAGACUCCCACAUAUCUACUGAAAAUUUGCAUUUUACAGUACUUCCCCAAAUAUUUCACCAUAGCAAAUCAGAAAAUGCAGAAAACAAAAACAAAACUUAUAAAAUGUUUAAAGCUCCUUAUGAAAUUACCUUUCUUCCUUUGGCUCCUAUUACUUUCAGUCCCAUAAGACCCUGAAAAAAAUCCCCAAAUGUUAUUUUUUUUUAAAUUCACAAACAUUUAAACAUGGGUUGAUUCAUAUUACACAUAACAGAAGUUUUCAUUUUUUUUACCAGUCUGAGACUACCUUAGGUCCAGGAGGUCCUGGCUUCCCUGGCACACCCUACAAAACAGGAAAAGAAUCCUCAGCUAAAAAACUUACAACCUUGUUCUCUGAUACAGGUGUUUUGAAGUACCCAACUUCCACAGAACUUAUAUCCCAUUUUUACUCUUUCCUCCACCUUUACAACUGCAAGCCAUUGCCACUGGGUGACAGAUUGUUUACACAGUAUAGUUGCAAAUGUAUGGAACUCUCAAUGUUAUGCAUAUUAGUAUUUUAAGUGAAUUAAUAGAUAGUUAUUUGAAAAUUAAAAUUUAUGCCUACAUGGACAAGGGAUGCUUCUAAAAAUAUAGAAAUUAUCAUGCAUAAAAAUAAUCAAAAGAAAUGGAAAAAGAAAUCAGAUGCAUUCAGAAAAACAUAUUUUUUACAUACACAUGUGUCUAGACCUCAAAUAAGUCUGGGAGAGUCAAGUACUUGUAUCUGUGUAAUUCCAUAGGAUUUAGGGAAAAUCAAAGGUCAAAGUAACAAGUGAGACAAAUUCAUACUAAAGGUCCUGGAGGGCCUUGUGGUCCAAGUUCCCCAGGAUAUCCUUGAGCACCCUGGGCACCCUGCAUAUUAAAAAAGAAACAGGAAUAAAUCUCCUGGCAAAAUUAUGAGCAAAAUGCAACACCAAAUUCAAUGAACUGGAUGAGAAACAGAGCAGCAGCUCUGCUUCUGAAUUUCCUUUUCCUGUCUCAGGGAAACAGGAGUAUAAUUCUUCCUCACUGCUUUAUUAUUUGGCAUAUGUUUUGAAACAUGAGAAAACAUCUGUUCCUAAACUAAACUACUCAAGUGAGGAGGUAGAACUCUGAGAAAUGUGGACUCAUAAUCCAUAUGGUCCUAUUAAUGCCUCUAAUAAGCCUUCAAUCCUUCAAAUAUUCUAUGCAAUAAAUCCUAUACUUUAAAGCUUUUUUUUUUCCAAAGAAAUGGAAAAUUAAAUAUUCUUUUCUUUUUAAUUUAAUGCUCUCUGUUUAUUCCAAUAGUCAGAAGAAAGCUCUGCCUUCCCCUGUUAAUGUUCAUUCUUGAAAUAUGGACCAUUCUGUCCUUUAUUAGUACUCUAGAAGUUGAGCUGGUCUAUCCUGUUCAGUCUUAGCUUCAAUGAGAGUUUUAGCAGUUGGACUUGAUGUCCAUUAUAGGUCCCUUCCGACUGAACUGUUCAAUUCUAUAUGUGUAGGAGUGAACUCAAAGAUUUGUGACCAGUUUUUCUCCCUACCUGAAGUACUGUUUUUCAGCAAUCUGACUGGCCUGCAAACUGACUAGUUUUGAUUUAGAGAUCAAGGACACAAUUGUAAAAAGUACUGUAUCUAUAUUAAAUACAUAAUACACUUAUGUAAAACACCAAACAAUUUUAAUACAUACUCGUGUUAUAUACAAUGUGUUUAUAUAUAUCACUGUAUAUUUUCAUACAUAUCUAUCUCAGCACCCCUUAUUUUGAGUUACCUGGAGACCAGGCAUUCCUGGUAAUCCAGGAUCACCUUUUGCACCAUACUCUUGGCUAUAUCCCUCUGCAGGGCACCCCUGGACAAUUAGAUAAAAAGAAACAUAAAAAGUUAUGCUGUAGAACUCUGUAGUGCAACAAAUAUUCUAAUAUAGUUUGUAGGGAAAUAAGCAACAUCAGAAUUACAUCAUGAUGGAAACUAUCUACUAUGGAUAGCUCUACCUUUAAAAAAGAUUUUAUGAAACCAAAUAUAUCUUCUGCAGGCCUCCCAGUUCUCUGUUAGGAGCAGUCUUUUCAGAUAUACCUACAUUAGUCAUGCACAACCCUUGCUUUCAAUUUAUUUUUGUUAUUCUUUAUUGCUAUAAAACACUCAUCUGAAGAUUUCCAUAUGAAUUAAUAAACUGUUUGGGGGAGGAGCUUAGUUCUUUGUGUGCUUGAAAGUGUUAAACUAAUUACAUGCAGUAACAGCAGUCUGAGGGAAAAAAAUUAUAGACCAUUUUGCAAUGUGAGGUAAAUGCUAUUAGGACAAAGGAAGGACCAAACUUUGUGGUUGCUUCAUCUGGAGGGUAAACCUUCUGUUUCCCAUAAAUGGAGCUGUAAAGAACAACAUACACACAAAUUGUUGAUAACCAAUAGAUAUUUCAUGCAAUAUCUUGUAAAUAACUGACCUUCUCUCCUUUGAUACCAGCAACUCCCUAGGAAGAAGAACAAUCAUAUUGAAACAGAAAAAUAAAAGAGUGCUGAAAUGACACAUUCUACGUAGUGUCUAAGCUUGAUGC